UGGAUCCAGAAAAGAGUGUCUGUGGCAGUUAAUAACGAUUAAUGCCUGUGUGUUUUUCAGAACAUUGAGCUGAAGGUUGAAGUGGAGAGUUUGAAACGAGAACUCCAGGACAAGAAACAGCAUCUGGAUAAAACAUGGGCUGAUGUGGAGAAUCUCAACAGUCAGAAUGAAGCUGAGCUCCGACGCCAGUUUGAGGAGCGACAGCAGGAGACGGAGCAUGUUUAUGAGCUCUUGGAGAAUAAGAUCCAGCUUCUGCAGGAGGAAUCCAGGCUAGCAAAGAAUGAAGCUGCGCGGAUGGCAGCUCUGGUGGAAGCAGAGAAGGAGUGUAACCUGGAGCUCUCAGAGAAACUGAAGGGAGUCACCAAAAACUGGGAAGAUGUACCAGGAGACCAGGUCAAGCCCGACCAAUACACUGAGGCCCUGGCCCAGAGGGACAAGUAGGUGCCUUCCGUGCUCUUUUUGUCGCUUGUCUUUUGCCCAUUCUCAAGGCAUGCAGCAGCUGCCCUGUUCCCUUUCAAGGACUGACAGUAGGAGCUUCACUAUUUCUAAGACUUUAUGGGCCCACAACCGAAGACAUUCUUUUCAG
rnacentral:sRNA from 1 species